AUUCCAGCUCCAAUAGCGUAUAUUAAAGUUGUUGCAGUUAAAACGCUCGUAGUCGGAUUUCGGGGCGAUCCCGCCGGUCUGCCGUUGGGUAUGCACUGGUGGGCGCGUCCUUCCUUCCGGAGACCGUUCCUACUCUUAGCUGAGCGGGGACGGGAGACGGAUCGUUUACUUUGAAAAAAUCAGAGUGUUUCAAGCAGGCAUUUGCUCUUGCAUGGAUUAGCAUGGGAUAAUGAAAUAGGACUUUGGUGCUAUUUUGUUGGUUUCGAACACCGAAGUAAUGAUUAACAGGGACAGUCAGGGGCACUCGUAUUCCGCCGAGAGAGGUGAAAUUCUCAGACCAGCGGAAGACGAACCACUGCGAAAGCAUUUGCCAGGGAUGUUUUCAUCA
rnacentral:rRNA from 1 species